rnacentral:lncRNA from 10 species
AAACAGCCUUGUUCCUCAUACAAAGCCUGUUUGGUGGACUCUUCACACAGAUGCGAGUGAAAUUUGGUGCCAUGACUCGGACUGAGGGACCUCCCUUGGGAGAUCAAUCUCAUCCUCCUGCUCUUUGCACCAUGAGAAAGAUCCACCUACGACCUCAGGUCCUCAGACCAACCAGACCAAGGAACAUCACACCAAUUUUAAAUCAGAUCCUGGCUUGUUUGAGGAAAAGACGUUCCCAACUAACAGCUCCACCCGUGCUUGCUUGGAAUAGGAGUAACGAUGCCUCCACACACAGGAGAGAUGAGGCAGGCCCCGAGGGGUACCCGAGGAGCACCAGACCUCAUGCAAAGCACUUGCCUGGCGUGACUUCAUUUUAUUAAAACUUCACAACAACUGAAGAGGUAGAAGUUGACAGAUGGGAAAGCUAAGACUAUAAGAGUGUCGUGAGUUGAAUCGUGUCUCCAAAACGACACAUGCAGGUCCUAACCCCCAGUUCCUGCUCUCUGCAGAGCAGGUGGCUUCUGUGUGGGCAACAUCCUGAUGGCAGAGGCACCCCAACACAGCUGCAGCGAUGGGCCAUGCCUGAGGUUAGCAGGGGUGUUGGAGGGGCCAGUGUGGGCCACGGGAGCCUCCAGUGGCUCCAUCCAGGAUGGUGGGCAGUCCAAGGUGGGCAGGCGAUGGGCAGAGGGAACAUCUGAGUGGAUCCUUCCCCUGAGAGCCAUGCAGUGCGCCCCACCUGCCUCGCCUUGGCCUGCGGGGAGACAACAGCGAUGGAGGCAGGGCCGGUGGCCACGCACGGGGAACUCUGCGAGUCCUGCUACAGCCGCUUCCUCCAGGCCCUAUGGUGCAGGUGGGACAUGCAUCAGCUGUUUACAGGGGUCUAUGGGCAGCCACCAGCAGCCGAGGGGAGAGGCAGCCAGGUAGUGCGGCAUUUCCUUCUGUUCCAUUCUGAUUGGCACGUCCAGUACAUUUUGGAUUUUUGGAUAAAAUUACUUUUAAUCAAAACAAUAGAAAGUCAGUCCAGAAUUCUCCUUGCCAUGAGUAGUUGUCGGAUGUUGCAUGAGGCCUCGGCGCCCGAUCGCGCUGCUCCAGG